UUGGUCCGGCACCGCCUGCUGUAGAUUGAGUGCAGGUCAGGGAGCUCGGAGCGGAUGGUGCGCUCAGCUGACCGCACAACCCUCUGUAGAGCUCGUCUGUCCUGCAUGGUGCUGUUCCCGAACCAGGUUAAGAUGUUUCCCGUCAGGAUGCUCUCUAUGGUGCACGAGUAAAAGUUCCUGAGCACCUUGGAGGGCAGUUGGAAGUCUCUCAAGCGUCUGAGGUGGUAGAGACGCUGACGGGCCUUUUUCACCACGGUGUUGAUGUGACAGGACCAUGACAGGUCCUGCGUGAUCUGAACUCCGAGGUAUUUGAAGCUGUCCACUCUCUCCACUGGGCACUCGUUGAUGACGGGGGUCUGGUAGUUCCUCUCCUGCUUAGUGCUGAAGUCCACUAUCAGCUCCUUUGUCUUACUGACGUUUAGAAGGAGGUUGUUCCUCUGGCACCAGUUCUCCAGAUUCCUAAUCUCCUUCAGGUAGGCCGUCUCGUUGUUAUCAGAGAUCAGGCCCACCACGACGGUGUCGUCAGCAAACUUGAUGAUGGUGGUGGAGCUGGUAGUGGCCACACAGUCAUAUGUGUACAAAGAGUACAGCAGGGGGCUCAGAACACACCCCUGGGGGGCUCCAGUGCUGAGAGUGGUGGAGGCUGAGACAUGUCCGCCCAUCCUUACUGGCUGUGGUCUGCCAGUUAGGAAGUUGGAGAUCCACUGACACAUAGAUGAGCUGAGUCCCAGAUGCUCCAGCUUGGUGUGUCCAAGUGAGUGAGUGAUGUGUGGAGGAGAUGAGAGAUGGCAUCGUCUGUGGAACGAUUUGGACGGUAAGCGAACUGUAGUGGGUCCAGUGUGUCUGGUAGUGAAGAAAUGAAAUGAUUCAAAUGAUUCAGUUAUGUACUGAAAUAUAAGAAUGGACAUUAGAGGCUUCUUUCAAAGAAAAAACUCAGGUAAAUGUUAUUUUAUAUAUUAUGCUUUGUAUGUUGUUCAGUAUAUUUCUAUGCAAAACAAGAGGAACUUCUAUACACAGCAGGAUAUUCACAGUUUAAACCAGAUAUUUACACUUUAUGGAAAACACAAGAACAGUUUUUACUGUACAACAUCAAUUUAGAGUCAACUUUUGUUUUAGAUAAAUAUUGAAAUAUCUUUUGAAUUAGUUAAAUGUCAGAAUAAAGAGAGACAGAGCUUCUAUUUUUAUCACUUUCAUCAAAUGUAGGAGUACAUGUACACUAAGUUUAUUGUAAAUUAAUAAGAAACUCCAGACGAUUCCAUUCUGAGCUGAAGAAGCUUCUGAUUGGUUCGUAGAGUCCAUGUGAGUAAAUUGGUGGCACAGCUGUGGAUGCAUAUAAGGCAAAACACAGAGCCUGUUUCUGUGACAUGGGAACAUCAGGAGAUGUCAACAAAACACCAGGAAGAGAACUGUGGAGCUCCAUAAGUGUGGCUCAGUUUGAAUACAAUUUGGUGCCAUUUACAAGAAAUACAGACAGUUUCUCUCUUUACUCUUAAAGUUAACAAAUAUGUUUUUAUAUUUAUCUAAAAAAUAAACAUUUAGUCUGAUUUGAUGUUACAAUUAAAAAAGUGUUUUUAUCUGAAGAGUUUGUAAAUAUCUGUAUAACUGUAUAUUUGAUGAUUGUCAGCACAAAGAGGAAGAGAGGGAACAAGAGCAGGUGAGACUCACAUGUUAGUCAAAUGGUUGUUUACCAAAAGUAUCAGCGUAUCACAGGUCCUCAUGUAUCUCGUACCUCGUGUUUCUUUUUAGGUUUGUUAUUUUUCAAAUUCUAUAUUUAUUAAGUUCUGCAGCUUGUUUGCACAACAAGGUUAAAUAAUUAUAUAAACUUUGGUAGAAUUAAAAAAAUAAGUGUAGUG
ensembl:lncRNA